rnacentral:rRNA from 1 species
AGUGGCGGACGGGUGAGUAAUGUAUGAGCAACCUGCCUUCAGAGGGGGACAACAGUUGGAAACGACUGCUAAUACCGCAUAAUGUGCAUUGAAGGCAUCUUUGAUGUACCAAAGGAGCAAUCCGCUGAAAGAUGGGCUCAUAUCUGAUUAGUUAGUUGGCAGGGUAACGGCCUACCAAGACUGCGAUCAGUAGCCGGACUGAGAGGUUGAACGGCCACAUUGGGACUGAGAUACGGCCCAGACUCCUACGGGAGGCAGCAGGUGGGGAAUAUUGGGCAAGUGGGCGAAAGCCUGAACCCCAGCAACGCCGCGUGAAGGAAGAAGGUCUUCGGAUUGUAAACUUCUUUUAUGAGGGACGAAGGACGUGACGGUACCUCAUGAAUAAGCCACGGCUAACUACGUGCCAGCAGCCGC